rnacentral:rRNA from 1 species
UACGGAGGAUGCAAGCGUUAUCCGGAUUUAUUGGGCGUAAAGCGUCCGCAGGUGGUUUUCCAAGCCUGCUGUUAAAGCGCGAGGCUUAACCUCGUACAGGCAGUGGAAACUGGAUGACUAGAGUAUGGUAGGGGUAGCGGGAAUUCCCAGUGUAGCGGUGAAAUGCGUAGAUAUUGGGAAGAACACCAGCGGCGAAAGCGCGCUACUGGGCCAUUACUGACACUCAUGGACGAAAGCUAGGGGAGCGAAUGGG